rnacentral:miRNA from 1 species
UACCUCAAUGGCUGGAAGGAAAACCUUCCAGUCGGCGAGGUACAUGUACCUUGUCAACCAGAAGGAAACCCUUCCAGUUGGCGAGGUACAUGUACCUCGCCAGCUGGAAGGAAAUCCUUGCAGUCGACAAGGUACAUGCACCUCGUUGACUGGAAGGUUUCCUUCCAGCCAUUGAGGUA